rnacentral:rRNA from 1 species
UGGUGGAGUGAUUUGUCUGGUUAAUUCCGUUAACGAACGAGACCUCGACCUGCUAAAUAGUUUGCCGAACCAUUGGUUCGCGUUAACUUCUUAGAGGGACUAUCGGUGCUUAGCCGGUGGAAGUUCGAGGCAAUAACA